CCUAUCUCAGUUACUCCGAUGAUAGCGCGAAUAUUUGAAAGGGCGGUAUACGAACAGGUAAAUUCUUACCUCUCUCUAAAUAAUAUUCUAAAUGUUCAUCAGUCUGGUUUUAGAACUCUUCACUCUACUCUAACUACACUGUUGGACCUAACCAAUGACUGGUGUUUCAAUAUCGAUAAUAAAAUGAUUAAUGGUGCCAUUUUCCUAGAUCUUCAGAAGGCGAUGAUACUACACUUACUUUCUCUGACUGCACAGUAAAUGAAUUGACAAAUCAAAUGCAAACAGAUCUUGMUAAAAUAGCGUCCUGGCUGCGCGCAAAUAAGCUGACUCUAAAUGUUAUCAAAUCCGAAUUUAUGCUAAUUGGCUCACGCCAGAGAUUGUCUGUCCUUGAUACAAGUAAUGUAAGCAUCUCUAUCAAUGGCAGCAACCUUAAGAGAGUUCAAAAUACUAAAUGCUUAGGUGUCUAUAUCGAUGAACACCUGACAUGGAAGACUCAAAUUGAUGGCAAUACAAAAAAGGUGGCCAUUGGUCUAAGCUCUUUGAAAAGUAUUAAAAGACUUGUCAACACGGAGUGUCUAAUCAAAGUAUAUAGGGCUACAAAUGAACCCUACUUUGAUUACUGCAGUCUAGUAUGGGAUAGUCUUGAUGCGUCCCUUUCUAAAAAACUGCAGAUUUUGCAGAAUCGCGCGGCACGCCUAAUCACUGGCGCACCUUACUUAACGGUAAGGACCAGUGAAGUGUUUGAUAUGCUGAAAUGGGAUACUCUCGAGGUAAAAAGACUUAAACAAAAGGCAAUAAUGAUGUUUAAAAUUGUUCAUGGUUGAGCACCACCAUAUCUAAUUGACUUAUUUCCUAAAAAACAAGUGCCAUUCCAUGAUCUUCGCGGCUCAAAGUAUGAUCUUAAACUUCCUAGAGUGAGAACCGAUUACCUAAAAAAUAGCUUUGMAUUCACUKGUGCAAAGCUUUGGAACUCGCUUCCCACCCACUUAAAAGAAAUUGGAUCUCUUAAAAACUUUAAAGAGCAACUUGAAUAUCAUACCUUCCAGCACUGACAAAUGACUACCACAUAUUGUUUGUUUUUAUUGAAUUUGUUAAAAGAGAACAUAUAUUUUAUAGUUAAAGUUUUUAUAACAUUACCAUGUACAAUUUUUAUAUUUGAUAUAAUAUCUAGACGGCCUCAAGGGAGACCAAUUAAUUCUUGUAAUUUACUGAUUGAGUUA